GAUGAACGCUGGCGGCGUGCUUAACACAUGCAAGUCGAACGAAGAAGCCCAGCUUGCUGGGUGGAUUAGUGGCGAACGGGUGAGUAACACGUGAGUAACCUGCCCUUAACUCUGGGAUAAGCCUGGGAAACUGGGUCUAAUACCGGAUAGGAGCGCCUACCGCAUGGUGGGUGUUGGAAAGAUUUAUCGGUUUUGGAUGGACUCGCGGCCUAUCAGCUUGUUGGUGAGGUAAUGGCUCACCAAGGCGACGACGGGUAGCCGGCCUGAGAGGGUGACCGGCCACACUGGGCCUGAGGCACGGCCCAGACUCCUACGGGAGGCAGCAGUGGGGAAUAUUGCACAAUGGGCGAAAGCCUGAUGCAGCGACGCCGCGUGAGGGAUGACGGCCUUCGGGUUGUAAACCUCUUUCAGUAGGGAAGAAGCGAUAGUGACGGUACCUGCAGAAGAAGCACCGGCUAACUACGUG
rnacentral:rRNA from 1 species